UACGUAGGGGGCAAGCGUUGUCCGGAAUCAUUGGGCGUAAAGAGCGCGUAGGCGGUCCGGUAAGUCAGCUGUGAAAGUCAAGGGCUCAACCCUUGAAAGCCGGUUGAUACUGUCGGGCUAGAGUCCGGAAGAGGCGAGUGGAAUUCCCGGUGUAGCGGUGAAAUGCGCAGAUAUCAGGAAGAACACCAAUGGCGAAGGCAGCUCUCUGGGACGGUACUGACGCUGAGACGCGAAAGCGUGGGGAGCGAACAGG
rnacentral:rRNA from 1 species